rnacentral:rRNA from 1 species
UGCCAGCAGCCGCGGUAAUACGGAGGGGGUUAGCGUUGUUCGGAAUUACUGGGCGUAAAGCGCACGUAGGCGGAUUGGAAAGUUGGGGGUGAAAUCCCGGGGCUCAACCCCGGAACUGCCUCCAAAACUAUCAGUCUAGAGUUCGAGAGAGGUGAGUGGAAUUCCAAGUGUAGAGGUGAAAUUCGUAGAUAUUUGGAGGAACACCAGUGGCGAAGGCGGCUCACUGGCUCGAUACUGACGCUGAGGUGCGAAAGUGUGGGGAGCAAACAGGAUUAGAUACCCUGGUAGUCCACACCGUAAACGAUGAAUGCCAGUCGUCGGGCA